UGGUAUUAAAUUAACAAAAUUAUUUUGCCAUGGAAUUAAAUUAGCUUUAGUGCUAAUUAGCUUUAGGACUUUGCUCACUGCUCGUUGCUUUACUCUCUGUCCGUCGAUGAAAGUAGGGCCCAAUGUGUGAAUGUGUGGGAGUGUGUGUGUAUGUGUGUGUGCGCCUCAUCAGUCAACUUGAAUGCCAAACUCAAAUGUCAUGUAGUAAUAACUUUGAAUGCUGCCACAUUUGCGGCAACAAAAGGGACUGAUGAAACAUCCAAGAAUAGAAAGAAAUGCCAUUGUCAUUACCGUCUUCUCUCUAAGGUAGUAUUUUAUACAAUUAUUUGUUUUUAAUCAUGUUUUUAAUCAUGUUUUAAAUCAUUGUUGUUAAUCAUGCGGUGGCUGUGUCUUAGAAUUGUGGGUACGUUAUAUAAUUUUAUUUAAUUAUAAUAUUCCCUUAUCAAAUUCUCAUAGAGUUAGUCUGUAAUAGUCUAGUGGUGUAUACAAUUUUGGGUUUCCUUUUUUGAUGAAAAUGAUUCCUACACCAGUCUCCUGUGAAGUGAUGUACAGUAUGUGUGGGGAACCUGUGAAGUUCUACUUUGAUAUGACAAACAAGUAGAUGCUUUGCCAUGAAGGUGUAGGUAAAAACAGUAUCGAUACACAGCAGUGUCUUUGAGAAAGACGAUGUUGGCUGAGGUCAGGUCAGCGGAAGUGCUAAUGAGGUAUAGAUGCUGCGUGUGCAAUCUUUUAUGCCGGAAAGGACUGACUGACAACUGACAAUAACGAAUCAUGACCUCUAGCUUCUUUUGAAAAUUCCUUUAACACUGCAUGCGCUGAGCCGGUCACCGUCACGGGAUUUCCUUAGCUUACCUGAUGAAGGAAAACCACUCAUCAUUGUGUACGUUCGCCUUCAGCGGACUGUCCUAAUGGCUUUAUACUCCCUUUUGUUACUCCCUUUUUUCUUCUCCUUCGUCAUCCACUGAGUGUUGGAGAGCCCAGUAUAGAUUGUUCACAGUUUCGUGACCAGGGCCAAUGGGUUCACUACAGCAAUAUCCUUCACUGCCUGUGUCUCUUUCAGAUACAACUUCACCAGACCAUCCUUGACAUCCAUGACCACAGCUGUGAAGGACAGGUGCAGGGAGUGUGGCUGGGCCGGUAGCACACGUUCAAGCAGUACGUGAGAAUGUAUAACACCUAGGCUGGAAAAAGCUCAGAGCCGUGAGCUCCCUGCUAGGUAGGAACUGGGACAGUGAAGUGGCAUUACCACCGGCACUUGGCAUUUCACCUAAAGUUGCAUUUCGAAUAAAAGUUCUGAAAAACCCAGACAGACCAAAGACCAGCCCAGCCCACCUCCUUAAAGAUGUUUACAAAAAGGAAAAGGAGGAAUAGAAGUCGGGAGAUGACAGGCAGGUCUCUGGAGUCUGAGCAUGCUCUCUCUCUUUUAAGUGUUUGUGUCUCCUUUUGCAGAAGAGUUGCACAUAGAUUGCAAGGGUAUUGCACAAGGGAUUACCAAUUCAGACCCUGUAUGGUCAUAGUCAUAUUAAACUGUCCAUGUGUGGUGUGCUGUGUUGAGUUCAUGGCUGGCUAUACAACCAUUAUAUACAGGCAUUCACAUAAAUGUUACUGUACAUGAAAGUAGUAAUUUUGCAAAUGUUUACAUACAAUGGAAAUACAAUGGUCAGAUUAUUAAUAAUAAAUAAUAAUUAAUUUUAUUUGUAACGCACUCUUCAUUCAGAAGAAUCUCAGAGUGCCAUAUUCAUUGUUGUUUCUCUAGUAGGAGCAAUGCAUACAUGGAAUAUGAUGUGGGAGAGAAGUGAGAAGAGUUCUGAUAGGAUUACUUUGACAUAAUGCUUAUAAGCAAAAUGAUAACAAAUUAUCUACGAAAAUAUGUUCUCCUUGGUUCAACUCAAUGUAUUCAGUAGGCCUGUACAGUGUAGUUAUACACAGUAAACAUGUAGUUUAUGUAUAGCGUAGAAACAUUUGUAUACCACUGAAUGAUUUAUGUAGAGCAUUUAAAUACUUCAGUACGUUUCCAAUUUUUUUCCAUAUCUUAGUUAAUAAUUAAAGCCUCAUGUACCUUCAUAAUGUUGCUCUGCUGCUGUGCAUCCUCUGCUCUGUGACUGCACCCAGGAACUGACCGCAGCCUCGUUUAGAACAGAGGACACGAGGACAUCCUCUCCCAUUCUUCUGCUAAUUGGCUGUAAUUGGGACAAAGGUUGCUGCGAUGCCAUUGCGGGAGUUUGGGAACAGGAGUGGGCACGUAGGCAAGCAGCGGGCAUUUUUCACAACGCUAUGCCACUUUUAAU